UCUUGAACUCCUGACCUCAGGUGAUCCACUCACCUCAACCUCCCAAAAUGCUGGGAUCACGGGCAUGAGCCACCGUGCCCAGCCAAUGCUGUGGUUUUUGAAACCUCAUAGAGGUACUGCCGUGGUUGUCUUGGAUAGGAUCUGGAAGAAUUCUCUGGAUUGUCAGGCAGAGACUCUAGUUCUCUUCCUUUACUUUUCCCCAAACAAAUGGAGUCUCUCUCUCUCUGUGCUGUCACCUGGAGCUGGGGGUGCGGUGAUACAGGAACCUCUGUGGCUGCCGCCACUGGGACUGCACUGGUCACACCUGAGGCCAGCACAGCACUGGGUAUCACCCAAGAUCUGCUGGAACCACUGCCUGGCUACCGCCAGUGUUCACUCAAGGCCCUAGGCUCUGUGAUCACCAGGUAGUGAAGCCAUCGGGAUUGUGUCCUUUCCCCAGGCCCUAGGUGGGCCACAGGUGCUGUCUGGGAGCAGGGAUUAUUGUCAACAACCUUAGCAAUUUUCCUCUUGUUCUAUUCCACUAUGGCUAAGCUGGCACUCACACUGCAAUGCAAAGUCCUUCUGCUGUUGCCUCCACUUUCCACAGACGGGGUCCUCUCCAAUGGCCACCACCCCCGCCAGCCCAUGCUGUGGGGUUCUGGCAGACCCCACUGGUGUCCACUAAGACUCAGUGACUCUUCAGUCAGCUUGUGGUCAAUGCUGCCAGGCCUGAGACCCACCCUGCAGGGCAGCAGCCUUCCCUCUGUCCUAGGGCAGGUCCAGAAACACUGUCCAAGAGCCUGGACCUGGACUCGGGGACCCCAAGAGCCUCGUUGGUGCUCUGCCCCACUGUGGCCAAGCUGGUAGCUAGGAUGCAAGACCAAGUCCCCUUUUCUCUUCCCUCUCCUCCCUCUCUCACCAUUGCCGCCAGAGCUGGGAGUGUGCUGGGUCACUCCUGAAGUCAGCACAUCUCAGAGCCCAAGGCCCAUGAUGUACUACCUGGGUAUCCCUGCCAGUUAUUCAGGGCCCAUGGGUGAUGAAUCCUGCCAGGGCUGGGUCCUUUUUUUCAAGACAGUGUGUUCCCUUCUGCCCCAAAGUGUGUCUAGAAUGCCAGUGAGCCAGGGCCUGGGCUGGAGGCCUCACUCCUCUGCCCGGUGUCCUCUCCUCCUGUGGUUGAGCUGGUGUCCAAGAUGCAACACCAAGUCCUCAUUACUCCUCACUCUCCUCUCCUUGAGCAGAAGAGAGGAAUUACUUUCAUUGUUUGGCCAGCUAUGCAGUCUGGGGCUGGGGGAGGGUGGCAAGCACUCCCUGGGCCACCCUGGCUCUUGGCUCCCUGGGUCAUGGGCCACCCCAGUCCCCAGCUCGAGCCGAGCCCAGGACUAGAAGUUGCAGAGGAACUGCAGUCCUUGGGUCCUAGACCCUCUUGUAAGUUUCCCUAGGAUCCCUAAGUACUGUGGCCCAUGGUGGGGAGGCUUGCCCAGAAACUCAAGUUCUGGCCACUGGAAUGGGCGACUCCCCUCUGGCUAGGGCUGGCCCAGGUGCUGCCUUCCAGUUUGGGCACUGACUGAGCAAAGCACGGCUUUGGCUUUGCUCUCUGCAGUGACAGGGCAGCACUGAGUUCAGUGUCAGGCCUCCCAGUCAUUGCUCUCUCCCUCCUGCAAGUGCACAGAGACUUGGUGCUGCAUGGUGUCUGCCAGCAGGUGAAAGAGGUGGCACCAGUGUACCAGGACUGUCUCUCCCACCCGCAUCCAUGCCUCUUUCUGUGAUACGAAGGCAAAACCAGUGCAAUCACAUGGACAGUGCUGGAUUCUCCCAGGCACAAUGUGUGAUACAUGUACAGGACACUGCCUGUCGGGGACCUCCACCAAGCCCUCAUGUCCAGAGGUUUUGCAAGGUUGGUCUUGUAUGUAUUGAGGACUUGGGUGGCUGACAUUAGGUACCAAGUCCCCUGCCCCCUCUGGAGGUCAAACUGAUAACAACCGGAUGCAAGGUCCUACCAUAGAUCACAUUGUCAGCAGACUGUCCGGCAUGGCUGAGGCUCCAGGAAUUCAAAGACACUGUUUCCAAACAUAAUAUUACUAAAGCACACAGCUCAUCUUCCAGGAACUGGUUGAGGUCUUGUUUUUCUUCUAAAAGAUACAGAGACCCUGCCUUCCCCAAGCUAAUGAGUCUACCCUUUACUGCACAGUGGUUCCCUCAGUCUGGAGGCCCACAUUUCAGGCCCACCUCAGGCCAGAAUACCAGGGGCAGCAGUCCCACCAGCACCAUCACAACAGUGACCUCCCUUUGUAUACGACACCCCAAAAUAAAAGACAAAUCAUGGAGAGUCAGGGAGCUUUGUGCCAGGGUCACUUCCCAGGGUUCAUUCGGCAGUGCCAGAACAUUCCCUGGGUAGGACCCACGGCAACCCAGGACUGAGCCAUCACCCUCGCCUCCGUCACCUCACCACAGGACUGCCUAGGCAACAAGAGCAAAACUUUACCUGAAAGGA